rnacentral:rRNA from 1 species
CAUUAGGGCCAUACUGCCCUGAAUGAGCACAUCUCCUCUGAUCUCAGAAGCUAAGCAGGGUUGGGCCUGCUUAGUACUUGGAGGGAGAAAUGGGGCUGCCUGU